rnacentral:rRNA from 1 species
UCCCGUAGGUGAAACCUGCGGGAGGGACAUUUA